rnacentral:rRNA from 1 species
AACGUAGGUGGCAAGCGUUAUCCGGAUUUACUGGGCGUAAAGGGUGUGCAGGCGGGGCUGUAAGUGGUGUAUGAAAUCUCCAGGCUUAACCUGGAGGGGUUAUGCCAGACUGCAGUUCUAGAGGGCGAGAGAGGGGGGGUGGAAUUCCCGGUGUAGAGGUGAAAUUCGUAGAUAUCGGGAGGAACACCAGUGGCGAAGGCGGCGACCUGGACAGAUAUUGACGCUGAGGUGCGAAAGCGUGGGGAGCAAACAGG